UACAGAGGCCUCGAGCGUUAGGCGGAAUCACUGGGCUUAAAGCGUGUGUAGGCGGACUUCUAAGUGCCUUGUGAAAUCCCACGGCUCACCCGUGGAACGGCUGGGCAUACUGGGAGUCUUGAGCCAUCUAGGGGCUACCGGAACAAAUGGUGGAGCGGUGAAAUGCGUAGAUAUCAUUUGGAACGCCAAUGGUGAAAACAGGUAGCUGGGGAUGUGCUGACGCUGAGACACGAAAGCCAGGGGAGCAAACGGG
rnacentral:rRNA from 1 species